rnacentral:rRNA from 1 species
AUUGAACGCUGGCGGCAUGCCUUACACAUGCAAGUCGAACGGUAACAGGUCUUCGGAUGCUGACGAGUGGCGAACGGGUGAGUAAUACAUCGGAACGUGCCCGAGAGUGGGGGAUAACGAAGCGAAAGCUUUGCUAAUACCGCAUACGAUCUCAGGAUGAAAGCAGGGGACCGCAAGGCCUUGCGCUCACGGAGCGGCCGAUGGCAGAUUAGGUAGUUGGUGGGAUAAAAGCUUACCAAGCCGACGAUCUGUAGCUGGUCUGAGAGGACGACCAGCCACACUGGGACUGAGACACGGCCCAGACUCCUACGGGAGGCAGCAGUGGGGAAUUUUGGACAAUGGGCGCAAGCCUGAUCCAGCCAUGCCGCGUGCAGGAUGAAGGCCUUCGGGUUGUAAACUGCUUUGUCCAGGGAAGAUGAUGACUGUACCUGGAGAAUAAGCCCCGGCUAACUUACGUGCCAGCAGCCGC